rnacentral:rRNA from 1 species
UACAUGGGGUGCAAACGUUGCUCGGAAUUAUUGGGCGUAAAGCGCGCGUAGGCGGUUACUCAAGUCGGAUGUGAAAGCCCUCGGCUUAACUGAGGAAGUGCACCCGAAACUGAGUAGCUAGAGUACUAAAGAGGGUCGCGGAAUUCCCGGUGUAGAGGUGAAAUUCGUAGAUAUUCGGAAGAACACCAGUGGCGAAGGCGACUCACUGGACACGUAUUGACGCUGAGGUGCGAAAGCGUGGGGAGCAAACAGG